rnacentral:rRNA from 2 species
UAGGGAAUCUUCCGCAAUGGACGAAAGUCUGACGGAGCAACGCCGCGUGAGUGAUGAAGGUUUUCGGAUCGUAAAGCUCUGUUGUUAGGGAAGAACAAGUGCAAGAGUAACUGCUUGCACCUUGACGGUACCUAACCAGAAAGCCACGGCUAACUACGUGCCAGCAGCCGCGGUAAUACGUAGGUGGCAAGCGUUGUCCGGAAUUAUUGGGCGUAAAGGGCUCGCAGGCGGUUUCUUAAGUCUGAUGUGAAAGCCCCCGGCUCAACCGGGGAGGGUCAUUGGAAACUGGGAAACUUGAGUGCAGAAGAGGAGAGUGGAAUUCCACGUGUAGCGGUGAAAUGCGUAGAGAUGUGGAGGAACACCAGUGGCGAAGGCGACUCUCUGGUCUGUAACUGACGCUGAGGAGCGAAAGCGUGGGGAGCGAACAGG